AGGAUUUGAUUUAGGAUUUAGGAUUUGAUUAGGAUUUGGUUUAGGAUUUAGGAUUUGCUUAAAAUUUUAUUUAAAUUUUAGGAUUUGAUUAGGUUUUGGUUUAAGAUUUAGAAUUUAGUUAGGAUUUGAUUUAGGAUUUAAGAUUUGAUUAAGAUUUGGUUUAGAGUUUAGGAUUUGAUUAGAAUUUGAUUUAGAAUUUAAAAUUUGGUUAGGAUUUGAAUUAGGAUUAGGAUUUAGUUAGGAAUUUAUUUAGAGAUUAAGAUUUUUUAGGAUUUAUUUAGGGUUUAAGAUUUAGUUAUUUUUUGGCCUAAAGUUUAAUUGAAGUCCAAUAGGAUUUUAACUAGGAUUUAAUUAAGAUUAGAUUGAAAUUUAUUUAAGAGAUAUUUGUGAUCAUUCUAAUAUUUCUAUAAGAUUUCUUAUUGUUUCUUUGUAAUUCUUUUAAGAUUUAUUUGAAUUGAUUAAAGCUUGCUUUACAUUUUUAUAGUCUAAUUAGAGUUUAAUUAGUGUUCUAUUA
rnacentral:lncRNA from 1 species